CCGAUGACGAUGCUUGCAAGGCAUGCUAUAGCCCCUCCUUGGUAGCAUGCUAUUGACAAGCAUUAGGCCCGAUUGCUAGUUUUUCGUUGGACCUUUGUCGUUUGGCCCGUUUCGGUUUCGUGUUGGUUUGCUGAUCGUCGAAGCGUACCCCGAUCUUGUGCAGUAGCCUACGGUAGGAGAAAAUCGUGAUUGGGUUUGCGUGACGUUGACGCGGCUUGGACGGAGUUUGCUUUCGGGUCCUACCCGUUGCGGCUUCGUGUUGGUUUGCUGAUCGUCGAAGCGUACCCCGAUCUUGUGCAGUAGCCUUACGGUAGGAGAAAAUCAGAUUGGGUUUGCGUGACGUUGACGCGGCUUGGACGGAGUUUGCUUUCGGGUCCUACGAUGUUGGUUUUUACGUGUUUUCUGUCCCGAUGAGUCCCGGUAUUUAUGUUGUUUGGCCCGUUGCGGCUUUGUGUUGGUUUGCUGAUCGUCGAAGCGUACCCCGGUCUUGUGCAGUAACCUAGCAUUGCGCUAGGAGAAAAUCGUUAUUGGGUUUGCGUGACGUUGACGCGGCUUGGACAAAGUUUUUUUUCGGGUUGUGCGACAUCAUGGUUUAUGUGUUUCCCGUACCGUUCGGUGCAUUUCGGGAACUUCUUCGUGCUUGUGGUUGUUUGCUUGGCUUUCUUGCUCGGCUUGUGGCUACUUGUGCGGGUCGUUUCAGGAAUGAAUAUCGUAAAGGUGCAUGAGUGGUGUUUGGUGUGUUGCUGGUGGUUGGAUGACUGCAUUCGCAGCAACGUCCACUGGGGCAUACCUCUUCAUUUACGGCGAACGGUUGUUUCUCAAUCGGGAGCAUUUGUUGGGAUUUCCUGUGCUGUGUACCUACUCUAGGGCAUGCUGUUGCUUGGUUAAUGUUGAUUUUCAUCGCACGUCACGCAAGUGGCGUGGGAUGAACUAGAACUGGCCCCUCUAUGAUCCAUGUCUUCGACGCUUUGUGUCUUUGGCAUGGCCCAUUGGGUGUGGCUUGGUUUCUUGGAUACGGAACCUUAUGUGGGCAUGGGGUCGCUUAAGACCCUGCUUUUGCCCUCGUUAAGCGUUCUUGCUUCUAAAAAGCAACAUGCGAUUGUGUAUGACUUGUUCGAU
rnacentral:misc_RNA from 1 species